rnacentral:rRNA from 1 species
CCUACGGGUGGCAGCAGUGAGGAAUAUUGGUCAAUGGGCGCGAGCCUGAACCAGCCAAGUCGCGUGAGGGAGGACGGCCCUACGGGUUGUAAACCUCUUUUGCCGGGGAGCAAAGGGCGCCACGUGUGGCGUCACUGAGAGUACCCGGAGAAAAAGCAUCGGCUAACGCCGUGCCAGCAGCCGCGGUAAUACGGAGGAUGUGAGCGUUACCCGGAUUUAUUGGGUUUAAAGGGUGCGUAGGCGGAUGGUUAAGUCAGUGGUCAAAUUGAGGGGCGCAACCCCUGUCCGCCAUUGAAACUGGCGUUCUUGAGUGGAAGAGAAGUAUGCGGAAUGCGUGGUGUAGCGGUGAAAUGCAUAGAUAUCACGCAGAACCCCGAUUGCGAAGGCAGCAUGCCGGCUUCCGACUGACGCUGAAGCACGAAAGCGUGGGGAUCGAACAGGAUUAGAUACCCCAGUAGUC